UGAAGGAAUAGUCGAGUUGCAAAAAAAGUUAUUAUGGGCAAACAAUAUUGAUGACAUUGAUUAUGAAGAGCAGAGGAUUGAAGAAACACUCCGCAAAAAGGAAGUCCUCAUUGUUCUUGACGACAUGGGCAAAGAGUGAACAAGUAUGAGAAGUUGGUUAGCAAGUGUACCUUGUGGUUCAAGUUCUAGAGUUAUUAUUACAACUAGGAAUAAAAAUGGUUUGCAUAAUAAAGAAUUGAUAUAUGUCAUUCCAAAUUAUGAAAUGGAGGAAAUGAGUUCCGAUCAUGGACUGCGGCUUUUCAGCAGGCAUGCCUUCAAGAGAGACACUCCUUUAGAUGACUACCACAUCCUUUCAAGAGACUGUUGUCUCCAUAACCGGACGACUUCCUUUGGCUCUUGAAGCAUUAGGUUCGUUCCUUUAUCGAGGAAGGAGAUAUGAAAAGACACUAGACAAAUUAAGCAAAGUUCUUCACAGGAUGUCGCAGGACAGUCGAAGAUCAGCCAUGAUGCCUUAAUGAGAACAAGAAUAAUGCAAUUCACAUGCAGGAUUGUAGAUUUUCUCCAGAACUGGGGGACUGAUGCUGUCGAGAGCAUGUCCGUGAUAAAGGUUUUAAAUGACGAGGUAUCCAGGAUUCAUGACCGGCUAAGAGAUCUUGGAAGGAGAAUCGUCCAUCAAAAUCUUAUGGCAAGUUCUGACGCUGAAAAAUUUAAUGAAUCUAGUCGGUCAUUGUUAAAAACAAGAUACUUGGGGAGGAAAGUGAAGCUACCCUUUGGACAAAACUGCAAGAAAUCUGUAGUGAUGGAAAUUGAUUCAGUUAUGAUCAAUUCGAAGAGUUGUGUUUCGACUGUUGUAUCGCCUUCUUCUUGAUUUUUAUUGUUGUCUGUUACGAUCAUUGUUUC